ensembl:lncRNA
UCCCACCGUGACCCUGUGUGUGCGGAGUUUGCACGUUCUCCCCGUGCUGCGGGGGUUUCCUCCGGGUACUCCGGUUUCCUCCCCCAGUCCAAAGACAUGCACGGUAGGCUGAUUGGCGUGUCUAAAGUGUCCAUAGUGUAUGAAUGUGUGUGUGAUUGUGCCCUGCGAUGGAUUGGCACCCUGUCCAGGGUGUACCCCGCCUUGUGCCCGAUGCUCCCUGGGAUAGGCUCCAGGUUCCCCGUGACCCUGAAGAAGGAGUAAGCGGUAGAGGAUGGAUGGAUGGA